AACGAACGCUGGCGGCAGGCCUAACACAUGCAAGUCGAGCGAGCAUUUCGGUGCUAGCGGCGGACGGGUGAGUAACGCGUGGGAACGUGCCCUUUUCUGCGGAAUAGUCCUGGGAAACUGGGGGUAAUACCGCAUACGCCCUUUUGGGGAAAGAUUUAUCGGAGAAGGAUCGGCCCGCGUUGGAUUAGGUAGUUGGUGGGGUAAUGGCCCACCAAGCCGACGAUCCAUAGCUGGUGUGAGAGGAUGAUCAGCCACACUGGGACUGAGACACGGCCCAGACUCCUACGGGAGGCAGCAGUGGGGAAUCUUAGACAAUGGGGGCAACCCUGAUCUAGCCAUGCCGCGUGAGUGAUGAAGGCCUUAGGGUUGUAAAGCUCUUUCAGCUGGGAAGAUAAUGACGGUACCAGCAGAAGAAGCCCCGGCUAACUCCGUG
rnacentral:rRNA from 1 species